rnacentral:rRNA from 1 species
GGUUAAGCGACUAAGCGUACACGGUGGAUGCCCUGGCAGUCAGAGGCGAUGAAGGACGUGCUAAUCUGCGAUAAGCGUCGGUAAGGUGAUAUGAACCGUUAUAACCGGCGAUUUCCGAAUGGGGAAACCCAGUGUGAUUCGUCACACUAUCAUUAACUGAAUCCAUAGGUUAAUGAGGCGAACCGGGGGAACUGAAACAUCUAAGUACCCCGAGGAAAAGAAAUCAACCGAGAUUCCCCCAGUAGCGGCGAGCGAACGGGGAGCAGCCCAGAGCCUGAAUCAGUGUGUGUGUUAGUGGAAGCGUCUGGAAAGGCGCGCGAUACAGGGUGACAGCCCCGUACACAAAAAUGCACAUACUGUGAGCUCGAUGAGUAGGGCGGGACACGUGGUAUCCUGUCUGAAUAUGGGGGGACCAUCCUCCAAGGCUAAAUACUCCUGACUGACCGAUAGUGAACCAGUACCGUGAGGGAAAGGCGAAAAGAACCCCGGCGAGGGGAGUGAAAAAGAACCUGAAACCGUGUACGUACAAGCAGUGGGAGCACGCUUAGGCGUGUGACUGCGUACCUUUUGUAUAAUGGGUCAGCGACUUAUAUUCUGUAGCAAGGUUAACCGAAUAGGGGAGCCGAAGGGAAACCGAGUCUUAACUGGGCGUUAAGUUGCAGGGUAUAGACCCGAAACCCGGUGAUCUAGCCAUGGGCAGGUUGAAGGUUGGGUAACACUAACUGGAGGACCGAACCGACUAAUGUUGAAAAAUUAGCGGAUGACUUGUGGCUGGGGGUGAAAGGCCAAUCAAACCGGGAGAUAGCUGGUUCUCCCCGAAAGCUAUUUAGGUAGCGCCUCGUGAAUUCAUCUCCGGGGGUAGAGCACUGUUUCGGCAAGGGGGUCAUCCCGACUUACCAACCCGAUGCAAACUGCGAAUACCGGAGAAUGUUAUCACGGGAGACACACGGCGGGUGCUAACGUCCGUCGUGAAGAGGGAAACAACCCAGACCGCCAGCUAAGGUCCCAAAGUCAUGGUUAAGUGGGAAACGAUGUGGGAAGGCCCAGACAGCCAGGAUGUUGGCUUAGAAGCAGCCAUCAUUUAAAGAAAGCGUAAUAGCUCACUGGUCGAGUCGGCCUGCGCGGAAGAUGUAACGGGGCUAAACCAUGCACCGAAGCUGCGGCAGCGACGCUGAUGCGUUGUUGGGUAGGGGAGCGUUCUGUAAGCCUGUGAAGGUGUGCUGUGAGGCAUGCUGGAGGUAUCAGAAGUGCGAAUGCUGACAUAAGUAACGAUAAAGCGGGUGAAAAGCCCGCUCGCCGGAAGACCAAGGGUUCCUGUCCAACGUUAAUCGGGGCAGGGUGAGUCGACCCCUAAGGCGAGGCCGAAAGGCGUAGUCGAUGGGAAACAGGUUAAUAUUCCUGUACUUGGUGUUACUGCGAAGGGGGGACGGAGAAGGCUAUGUUGGCCGGGCGACGGUUGUCCCGGUUUAAGCGUGUAGGCUGGUUUUCCAGGCAAAUCCGGAAAAUCAAGGCUGAGGCGUGAUGACGAGGCACUACGGUGCUGAAGCAACAAAUGCCCUGCUUCCAGGAAAAGCCUCUAAGCAUCAGGUAACAUCAAAUCGUACCCCAAACCGACACAGGUGGUCAGGUAGAGAAUACCAAGGCGCUUGAGAGAACUCGGGUGAAGGAACUAGGCAAAAUGGUGCCGUAACUUCGGGAGAAGGCACGCUGAUAUGUAGGUGAAGCGACUUGCUCGUGGAGCUGAAAUCAGUCGAAGAUACCAGCUGGCUGCAACUGUUUAUUAAAAACACAGCACUGUGCAAACACGAAAGUGGACGUAUACGGUGUGACGCCUGCCCGGUGCCGGAAGGUUAAUUGAUGGGGUCAGCGCAAGCGAAGCUCUUGAUCGAAGCCCCGGUAAACGGCGGCCGUAACUAUAACGGUCCUAAGGUAGCGAAAUUCCUUGUCGGGUAAGUUCCGACCUGCACGAAUGGCGUAAUGAUGGCCAGGCUGUCUCCACCCGAGACUCAGUGAAAUUGAACUCGCUGUGAAGAUGCAGUGUACCCGCGGCAAGACGGAAAGACCCCGUGAACCUUUACUAUAGCUUGACACUGAACAUUGAGCCUUGAUGUGUAGGAUAGGUGGGAGGCUUUGAAGUGUGGACGCCAGUCUGCAUGGAGCCGACCUUGAAAUACCACCCUUUAAUGUUUGAUGUUCUAAC